rnacentral:misc_RNA from 1 species
AACUUUUAGCAACGGAUCUCUUGGCUCUCGCAUCGAUGAAGAACGCAGCGAAAUGCGCUAAGUAAUGUGAAUUGCAGAAUUCAGUGAAUCCUCGACUCUUUGAACGCACCUUGCGCCCUUUGGUAAUCCGAGGGGCAUGCCUGUUUGAGUGUCUUGAAGCUCUCAAAUGUUUAACAUUUGGAUUUGGGUGAAAUGUUGCAGGUCGCCAAGAUCAGCUCACCCUAAAUGCAUUAGCUGGCUUUUGGGUCCGCAAAAACUCGGUGUGAUAAUUGUCACUCGCUGAGAUGUUGUAACCUUUUUAAUGGAAGCUGCUUCAAAUCCGUCUCCUUAGUGAGAAGUCUAAGUGUUUGACCUCAAAUCAGGUAGGACUACCCGCUGAACUUAAGCAUAUCAAUAAGCGGAGGCU